GGGGAGAGUUAGGAGCAUCUUGUGUUGGAAUCUUGUGUUCCUAACUGUUGUGGAUUCUGAGAUAUUGGGAGUUGAAGUUGUCAUUGAAUUUUGGAUAUUUUUACGUUGGAAAGUUUUUAGUUAAGUGCAAAUUUCUCAUGAACUGUAAGGUUGUGAACACUGCCAGUUAUAGGUGUUGUAGGGGAGUGUUAGGAGCAUCUUGUGUUAGAAUCUUGUGUUCCUAACUGUUGUGGAUUGUGAGAUAUUGCUCGUUGAAGUUGGAGGUCAUUUUUGGCAUGAUUUUUUUAAAGUUGAAAGUCUCUAAUAAAAUCCUAAUAUCUCAUGAGCUAUAAGGUUAUGAGCACUGCCAGUUAUAGGUGUUGUAGGGGAGUGUUAGGAGCAUCUUGUGUUAGAAUCUUGUGUUCCUAACUGUUGUGGAUUCUGAGAUAUUGGGAGUUGAAGUUGUCCUUGAAUUUUGGAUAUUUUUACGUUGGAAAGUUUUGAGUUAAGUGCAAAUUUCUCAUGAACGGUAAGGUUGUGAACACUGCCAGUUAUAGGUGUUGUAGGGGAGUGUUAGGAGCAUCUUGUGUUAGAAUCUUGUGUUCCUAACUCUUGUGGAUUGUGAGAUAUUGGGAGUUGAAGUUGUCAUUGAAUUUUGGAUAUUUUUACGCUGGAAAGUUUUUAGUUGAGUGCAAAUUUCUCCUGAACUGUAAGGUUGUGAGCACUGCCAGUUAUAGGUGUUGUAGGGGAGUGUUAGGAGCAUCUUGUGUUAGAAUCUUGUGUUCCUAACUGUUGUGGAUUCUGAGAUAUUGGGAGUUGAAGUUGUCAUUGAAUUUUGGAUAUUUUUACGUUGGAAAGUUUUUAGUUGAGUGCAAAUUUCUCCUGAACGGUAAGGUUGUGAGCACUGCCAGUUAUAGGUGUUGUAGGGGAGUGUUAGGAGCAUCUUGUGUUAGAAUCUUGUGUUCCUAACUCUUGUGGAUUCUGAGAUAUUGCCAGAUGAAUUUGGAGCUAUAGUCAAAUUGAGCUCAUUUUUGGCAUGAUUUUUUUUAAGUUGAAAGUCUCUAAUAAAAUCCUAAUAUCUCAUGAGCUAUAAGGUUAUGAGCACUGCCAGUUAUAGGUGUUGUAGGGGAGUGUUAGGAGCAUCUUGUGUUAGAAUCUUGUGUUCCUAACUCUUGUGGAUUCUGAGAUAUUGGGAGUUGAAGUUGUCAUUGAAUUUUGGAUAUUUUUACGUUGGAAAGUUUUUAGUUAAGUGCAAAUUUCUCCUGAACUGUAAGGUUGUGAGCACUGCCAGUUAUAGGUGUUGUAGGGGAGUGUUAGGAGCAUCUUGUGUUAGAAUCUUGUGUUCCUAACUGUUGUGGAUUGUGAGAUAUUGCCAGUUAGAUUUGAAGUUGUCAUUGAAUUUUGGAUAUUUUUACGUUGGAAAGUUUUUAGUUAAGUGCAAAUUUCUCCUGAACGGUAAGGUUGUGAACACUGCCAGUUAUAGGUGUUGUAGGGGAGUGUUAGGAGCAUCUUGUGUUAGAAUCUUGUGUUCCUAACUGUUGUGGAUUCUGAGAUAUUGCCAGAUGAAUUUGGAGCUAUAGUCAAAUUGAGGUCAUUUUUGGCAUGAUUUUUGAAAGUUGAAAGUCUCUAAUAAAAUCCUAAUAUCUCAUGAGCUAUAAGGUUGUGAGCACUGGCAGUUAUAGGUGUUGUAGGGGAGUGUUAGGAGCAUCUUGUGUUAGAAUCUUGUGUUCCUAACUGUUGUGGAUUGUGAGAUAUUGGGAGUUGAAGUUGUCUUUGAAUUUUGGAUAUUUUUACGUUGGAAAGUUUUUAGUUAAGUGCAAAUUUCUCAUUAACUGUAAGGUUGUGAACACUGCCAGUUAUAGGUGUUGUAGGGGAGUGUUAGGAGCAUCUUGUGUUAGAAUCUUGUGUUCCUAACUGUUGUGGAUUGUGAGAUAUUGCCAGUUAGAUUUGAAGUUGUCAUUGAAUUUUGGAUAUUUUUACGUUGGAAAGUUUUUAGUUAAGUGCAAAUUUCUCCUGAACGGUAAGGUUGUGAACACUGCCAGUUAUAGGUGUUGUAGGGGAGUGUUAGGAGCAUCUUGUGUUAGAAUCUUGUGUUCCUAACUGUUGUGGAUUGUGAGAUAUUGGGAGUUGAAGUUGUCAUUGAAUUUUGGAUAUUUUUACGUUGGAAAGUUUUUAGUUGAGUGCAAAUUUCUCAUGAACGGUAAGGUUGUGAGCACUGCCAGUUAUAGGUGUUGUAGGGGAGUGUUAGGAGCAUCUUGUGUUAGAAUCUUGUGUUCCUAACUGUUGUGGAUUGUGAGAUAUUGCCAGUUAGAUUUGAAGUUGUCAUUGAAUUUUGGAUAUUUUUAUGUUGGAAAGUUUUUAGUUAAGUGCAAAUUUCUCAUGAACUGUAAGGUUGUGAACACUGCCAGUUAUAGGAGUUGUAGGGGAGUGUUAGGAGCAUCUUGUGUUAGAAUCUUGUGUUCCUAACUGUUGUGGAUUC